rnacentral:rRNA from 1 species
CAUCCAGAGAACUUAGCAGAGAUGCUUUGGUGCCUUCGGGAACUCUGAGACAGGUGCUGCAUGGCUGUCGUCAGCUCGUGUUGUGAAAUGUUCGGGUUAAGUCCCGCAACGAGCGCAACCCUUAUCCUUUGUUGCCAGCGGUUCGGCCGGGAAACUCAAAGGAGACUGCCGGUGAUAAACCGGAGGAAGGUGGGGAUGACGUCAAGUCAUCAUGGCCCUUACGGCCAGGGCUACACACGUGCUACAAUGGCGCAUACAAAGAGAAGCGACCUCGCGAGAGCAAGCGGACCUCAUAAAGUGCGUCGUAGUCCGGAUUGGAGUCUGCAACUCGACUCCAUGAAGUCGGAAUCGCUAGUAAUCGUAGAUCAGAAUGCUACGGUGAAUACGUUCCCGGGCCUUGUACACACCGCCCGUCACACCAUGGGAGUGGGUUGCAAAAGAAGUAGGUAGCUUAACCUUCGGGAGGGCGCUUACCACUUUGUGAUUCAUGACUGGGGUGAAGUCGUAACAAGGUAGGCGUAGCGAG